AUGGCUGGCAAGGACACCAAACCCAAGUCCAGCGCUUCUGCUGCUGCUGUCCCGUACGUGUUCUUCCUCUUUCUAUUAGAGGCCCUGCUACAGUUCCUUGUUCUAGUGUUUGCCCUAGAUAUGUUAGGCUCUACUUCAUAUAUGCAACUUGCUAUACUGUCUGCUCUAGAUAUGUUUAGUUACAGUUCAUAUAUGAAGCUGAUGUUUAUCUUCUCUUUGUUAAAUCGCAUGGCUUGUUUUAUCACUGCUAUACUAGUCGUGCUUUAUCUAGUAUUUCUGUUAAUAAAAUCAUUCGGUAAAUUGUUCAUAUUUCCAACAAUCCAGAAACCUUAUUAUAGGCAAUUUACCCCAAGUGGUUUUGCUGCUUCCAUAAGACCUCCUAUGUUUGAGGGUAUCCACUAUAAGAGGUGGCGCGUGAGAGCAGUCUUAUGGUUUCAAACCAUGAGUUGCUAUGACGCCACGCUUGGCAAACCUGAAGGGGAGCAUGAUGUCCAAUAG
rnacentral:rRNA from 1 species